GGUGAACCUGCGGAAGGAUCAUUGUCGAGCCCCGAUCGACGCUGCUGCUGGCCGUCUCGACGGUAUUGUGCACGCGUCGACUCGCCUCUCAUUCACCCCUGUGCACCUCUGUAGGCUGGGCGGAAGCCCGGCUCUACGCUUUACACACACGCUCAAACUUUGUGAUUGGAUGGUAUAAUAAUACAACUUUCAACAACGGAUCUCUUGGUUCUCGCAUCGAUGAAGAACGCAGCGAAAUGCGAUAAGUAAUGUGAAUUGCAGAAUCCAGUGAAUCAUCGAAUCUUUGAACGCACCUUGCGCCCUUUGGCAUUCCAAAGGGCAUGCCUGUUUGAGUGUCAUUUUGCAUCGUCGACGGCCCCCUCUUGAGGAGGCGCGGUCGGAAGGGUGGAGGCUGCCGGCCCUGAGGUCGGCUCCUCUCAAACGCAUUAGCGAGGUGCAGACCGGACCCGCUUCGACGUGAUAAGUGUUUAUUCGUCGUAGCGGUUCGAUGUGCUCGCUUCGAACCGUCCCUCCGAGACAACGAGAGAGGCGCCUCGCGCGCGCUCUCUUGACGCUCUGACCUCAAAUCAGGUAG
rnacentral:misc_RNA from 1 species